rnacentral:lncRNA from 1 species
ACAAAUUGUUUUGCUCCUUUAUUUAAGUUUUUGUAUUUGAUGAAAUUUUUGGGUUCUAGUUGUAAUUACAUUAAGUAGUGGACUUUUGUGUUCUUACAAAGUGACCUCAAAAGUUUGUGUUUUGCAACAUAGCCCAAAAAGUUGAGGUUAUUGCAUUUGGCCCAAAUCAGUUGACAACAAAAUAGUUUUGUAUCUUUAAAUGAGAAUUGGAUUUUCAUUUCAUUUAGCUCCAUUUAAAUCAAUUCUAUGGAAACAAAAACCAAAUGAAAAUGUUGCAUUCAAGUUUAAUUAGUUAAAGCAUUAAUUAAUUAAAGAAAGGGUGAUUAUGAACCUAAGCCUACGAUAAUUGAGCUAUGUGAAAGGCCAUCUCAAAUUUGUUUGAACCAUGGGAAUGUGUAGAUUAGAUUUUGGUUGUAAUUUGAUAUGAUCAAAUGUUGUAAAAGAGCAUAAGCUCUUCUUUACUUUAAAGUAAUUUGUUUUGAUCAAAUGUUGUAAAAGAGCAUAAAUUCUUCUUUACUUUGAAGUACUCAUUUCUUGUUUUAUUUGAUAUGCAUGAAAUUGGAGUAGUUGGGUCCAACGCCCAAUAAGAAAAACACACCUUAAUAUGAUUAAACGCGUAACUAAAAUCAAUCACCAUCCCUAGACCGAGAUUCAACACUAGGCUCGUGUUGGAUCUAAUCAAAGGUUCAUAGUCAUCCUAAGGCCCUAAGGCAACUAUAUAGUCCAUCAAUGAAUGAAACCUUAUGUUAGUAGUACCAUAUAGUCUUGCUUUAAAAACCGUUUUACAAGCAUAGUGGGAGUAUUAUAUACUACUAAAUCAAUCACAUGGACCAAUAGUUGUAAUAGGACCAAAUUGUUUUAAUUAGAUUAAAAUGCAUGCUUAUAUGUGAUGAGACCUAAAACCCUCAACCAAACCAUUAUUAAGUUGAUAAGCGUGAGAGUGCUUUGAACACUCUUUCGUGGCCUUCCACCGUGAUAGGCUCCAAUCAUUUGUGACUCGUACACCGACUUCACCCUAUCAUGGGGGAGUACAAAGUGCGUGCUUACACUCAGGAGGAGUUCUAUAUGCAUACAUGAUGUUGUGAAGGUAGGCAACGAGAAUGAUCAACAUCAUAUCAUUGUGAGGUUGUUCUUGAACCCCUACUCGAACUUACAUGGUGGGGAAUGACUUAACUAAGUGCAAUGGAGCCAACGUCAUAUCAUUGUGAGGCUUCAUUCUCUAGAGGCCAAAUAAGAUGGGUACUUGCAAGAGAUGCAAAUGAGUAAGCGUACUCUUUCAUUAUUAUUGAUGCUAGCCAACAUCAUAUUAUUGUGAGGUGGGCUUGGUAAUGAUGAGUCUCCCAUACCCUACUAAGAGUUUCCUCCAAAGCUCUCGAAUUCCGAUGAGGGAUAUGGAAUUUGCCAAAAAUAGUGGGUGGUGCUAUUUGAUUUAAAGACCCAGAUCAAAUGGCUUAAAAUCAAUCAAUUUAUAUUCGUUAUGUAUUAAUUUACUAAUAUAUUUGCAAACGCUAUCCAAAACUUGACAAAGAAAAAGCCGAAAGCUUUAGUUUCCGGACUUGGUGUUACAAUCCCAUAAAUUGUCUAAAAUUGGCUUGUAUAUGUACCUAAGUAGUCUCAUCCUCGCAAUCUUCCUAUUGAUAAUGUAUCAUUGGAAGAACAUGUUAGGCAAAUCUAUCAUAAAGAGGACAACACUUUUAAUGUCAUAAUUCUUCAAUUACAAAUUGUUGUAUGAAGAAGUAAGAGUUGCUUUGAACAACCCUUAAUUAACGCAAACAUUAGUGCUCGUUUCUUUGUUACAUGAACAAGGAACUUCAGAAGUAAGCACAAGGGCAUGGACACUUUAUGUGCCAUGAUUCUUCACUUACAAAUUGUUGUAUGAAGAAAUGAGAGUUGCCUUGAACAACUCUUGAAAGUUUGUAGUUGUGUUUAGAACAUAAUGGUUGGUUGACAAAAUAGUCCAUCAACAUGGACUUAUGAUGAUUUUGAAUCAUUGAGUGUUGAAGUGUUAAACCACUUCUGAAGACAGAAACUAGGCAAGGACUUCACUUUUGUGUCCCUAUAGAAAUGAUUCACUAAGUUUAUUCUAAACUAUAUAGUGAACAAAUAACCACACGCUCUCCAAAUUGUUUGAUGUAUAUAACACAAUUGAAAUAAGUUUCAAGAGAGAUAGUGGGAGUUUAGGGACCAUGACUAUUGUAGUCAAAGGAGAAGUCAAAUGAAGAAGGCAAAAUAACUCCAAGGGAACAAACUUUCUUUAUGAAAGGAUGGACAUUGGAAGGGGUAUUUGCAAGAAAUGUCUUGCAAGUGUCAAGAACACACCUUUCGAAGGUGUUGUAAAAUGUUCUUGAAAAGUUCAAAACAGUUGGUUCUUCUACUUGAAUGCUUGAUUCUGUAUUAGUAACAAUGUUUUACAAUCGUUGUAAAAGUGUGGCUAAUAAGAAGUAGAAGAUUAAUGAGAGAAGAGAAAGUACUUCACAUUCGAAACGUGAAUCAAAUAUAGAUCUCUGCGAAAGCAGGUAGUACUUACUUCCUCAUAUGAACUACCAAAGAAAAUGGAAAAACAAAGAUUGUCUUUACAUUCCAAUUGAAUAAAGAAACUUAAUUCCGUAUGAGAAAUGGAUAAAUGUUUUGUUUGACAAAACAUUGUUCUUUAUUAAUGAAUGAUUAGAUUAUUGUAAUCUAAUUGAUUAUCUCUAUAGUAGAGAUGAUAUGGUAGUGUUAACUGUUUAGAAUAUAAUGAUGCUUAAAACCCAAAAGGUUGCAAGGUAGUGACUAAUCCUAACUGAGUUGUGAUACCUCUAAAACAUAAAUUACGAGUUGGUCAUAGAUGGAUGCUUUGGAUCAUUAGAUCUGGAUCCAAUGCCUUCUUCUUAAAAUUGUAUAGAGGCAAAAUGUUUGAAUCUUUAUUCUUUUGGAAAGGAAGAAAGAAUCACAAAGUUGUUGAGGUUAAAUCACUUAGAUGUUAGUGGCACUUGUCCACAACAAAAUACUACUCAUGUUGUAUGACAUUCGCCGAAGAUCGCUCUCGGUUGGACUAUCGUUUAUUUUGAAAAAACACAAGUAUGAAUACUUUGCAAAAGGUUUCAAAGAAUUCAAGAAUGUAAGUUGAUGAGUAAGACGUCUAAAGUAUUUACCUCCUUAGAUUUGAUCCAAAAAAAGGUAACACUUUAGAACAGUUUCCUUGAAAGAUAUCAAGGAAAGAAGCAUCAUAAGAUAAUGGAUUUCUCCAUUAAAAAAACAACGAACUCGAAUAAGAUUUAGUUCGUCGGAUGUUAUCAAUUACCCAUAUAUAGGAUAUAUACUUCUAAGACAAUAUGAUUGUCAAUUAGAAGAUCUUCCAAAAUUUUCAUGACUCCAUAGGAUGUAGUUGGAAAGAAAGACAAAUAUUAAUCAUGUUAAGAUUUGGGGUUGUGCUAAUAAGCAAUAUUUGUUUAAAGAAUUAUCUUGUGGGUAUCCUUAAAUCAACAUUUGGAUAUCACUUCUAUAAACCAACUAACAAAUGUUGUUUGUUGGGUAGUUCAUUAUAAUCCUACACUAGGAUUUGCCUAAGAUAGAGCAAAUGAACGAGGGAUAGAACUUAAAGAAUGGGUUCUUUAAGAGACAAGAUAGUGAUCAACAAAUAUAACAACCUAGUUCCUAUACCACAAGCUCCAAGGUAGUUGAGAAGGAUUUAUAAACUGUCUCAGUUGAAUGGUUUGAACUUUAUGAUUAUGUCAUAGAGUUACACCUCUUAAUUCAAAAGAAAUAAGAAUGAAAAUCCUUAUGACUACAUUGAGGGUAUAUACGACAUAUACUCAAGGAAAUGGUAAAGUACCAUUUGACCCGAAAUAAUGAAACCUUCAUAGCUAAUUGGUAGCUUAAGGUGACUACAAUCAAACAGAAUGGCUGACUUGGAAGAAACCAUCUUUGACAUAGUCGUGGUUUCAAUUAAUUCAAAGAUUUCUAGCUACAACUAAAUGGUGAUUCAAUGUUUGGACAUAAUAUGGGUUUCCGAAACCAUUAUUAUGAUAGUCUUGAUAAUAUAUGUCUGAAACUAUGAUUCACAAGACAUGUAAGUUGUAGAGAUCCAUCCAUCAUGAAUCUUAGCAAGCUAGUAGGAGCUAUAAGCGUCUUAUGAGAGAAGGAUCAAAUCAAUUGAUUUCUCAUAAAGAUAUAAAUGAAUCUUUUGUUUACUAGGUUUACAAAAGAUUAGUAGGAGUUAAUCAUGUUCCUAAAAAUUUAACAUAUAUAUGAUAUAAUAAUUUUGGAAAUGAAAAGAAUACUUCUUCGUUAAAGUUAUGAUUUUAAACAUUCUAUAAAGAUAGAAUGUAUAUGGGAGACAUAGUCUAUAAACAUGGGAUGGAAAUCUAUAAUGAUAGAUUUCAGGAUAUAAUUGGAUUAUAUCAAGCCCUAAUACUAGACAAAAGAUGCUAGGAAGUUUCUCAUAUGAUGAUAAACUUCAUUCUGAAGAACAACUCUAGUAAGACUAGCAGGUAGCUCUUCUCAAAGGGAACGUACCCUUUGAGUCCCAAAGAAAUAAUGCGUAAAUAGAAUCCUUUAUGCAUACACAGAAAGGUGAUUUAUGUAUUUCCUAUUGUAUGAAAAACAUUGAUAUGAGUUGUACCUAGAACGGUGCAAGACGAUAUCACUACAAGUCAGGAUCAGAAUCAUGGCAACUGUCAAGUGAAUCCUUAAGUAUUUAAGAAAUACUAAAGGAUAGAUUCCUCAAAGAAUGAGGAAGAAUUAGAGUAACGUAAUGGAAGCGUAAAUGUAUUAGAUUAUGAAUCUAAUCCAUUAUUGGAUGUUUCUUCAUUAUGAAUGAAGAGAUAAUCAGAUAUCUCUUUAUUAUGACUAAAGAGAUAUUUGGAUGGAAACAUUAAAAGUAAUGACUUUAGUGUGUUCCAUUAUGAAUGCAAAAUAUAUUGCCAUAUAGAAGCUUACAACAAUGUUUUUUGGAUGGGAAAGUUCAUUUAUGAACUCUCUAUUCGGUUCCAACCAGAAAGUAUCUCCAGUGUACCAACACUACGACACUAAUGGGGCAAUAGCUAAAGCCAGAGAAUCACGGUCUCAUCAAGAUCUGAACUCAAAUGAGAGACUGAACCACAUGAUUGAGAAUCAUGUAUAAUGGUGACGUCGUUAUUCUCAAGGUUGCUUCUAUGGAUAACAUAUAGAUAUCCAUUGCCUAGGCCUACUACUCAGCCAUUUUUGAAAUGACUUCAGAAAAGGUAUCAUCACUAACGACCAAGCUGAUUGGCUCUAGUGCAAGUGGGAGAUUGUUGGAAAUGUGCCGUAAAACCAAUCAUAUGAUGAUACUUUACGGACAUUUCACAUGUUAAACUAAUCUAGUUUAAUAUCAAGGGCAAAGAUUAUUGUUUUAAGCUGUCUCAUAUAAAUGUUAUAUGCUUAAAAGAUAAGUCCAAGGAAUAUGUAAUUAGGAGAAUGUAAUUUAAAGAAGUUAUAUUCAUGAGACCAUUCUCUUUCGUAUACAUAUCCUAAACGUUCCUGAUCAUAGGAUUGCCA